rnacentral:rRNA from 1 species
UAGGGAAUCUUCCGCAAUGGACGAAAGUCUGACAGAGCAACGCCGCGUGAGUGAUGAAGGCUUUCGGGUCGUAAAACUCUGUUGUUAGGGAAGAACAAGUACGAGAGUAACUGCUCGUACCUUGACGGUACCUAACCAGAAAGCCACGGCUAACUACGUG